UCAACUGAUUUGGAGCGCAUCUCAAUUCGGGAAUGCAAUAGCAUGGAGAGCUUGGUUUCAUCUUCUGGUUUCUGCUCUGCCACACUGCCAUCUCCAUCAUAUAACAGUAUAUUUUCAGGUCUUAAAAUGUUUAAUUGUUCUGGUUGUAAGAGUGUGAAGAAGUUGUUCCCUCUUGGCUUGCGGCCAAACCUCGUAACCCUGGAAGAGAUUAGAGUUAUGCAUUGUGAGAAAAUGAACAACAUAUGAUGAAAAAAGCAGCAGCAGCUCUUAUUCCAUCACCAAAUUCAUUUCUUCCAAAGUUAAGAAUUCCAAGAUUGAGAUAUUUACCAGAACUGAAAAGAAUUUCUAGUGCAAAACUAGUUUUGAUUCUCUUGAAGAAAUUG